UGCAAAGCUAUUAGUAGUUUGUAAAUAUUUACUUAGCAGCAUCAGGACAUUUCAGCUUAUUUCUUUUCCCAUGAACCAUUUGUCCUUAAUAUCUUUUUAUUGUUAUUCCUGCCGCCUGAUCAGUCCCCUAAAUUGCCAACCGCUGUCUCUGUUCUGUUUCCUCGCUGACACUUUUUAGGCAGUUGACUUUCUUGCACAUGGUUUUGCCUGAUAAAACUUGGUUCUAGAAGCCCUGAAAGCAGGGCUGAAUGGUAAACAUUUUCCAUGCCCUCGCAAUGCUUAUGACUAGAAAAUAGUAAUAAUAGUAUAAUGUUCCCUGAGGAAAGAGCAACAAAAAGUGGUAUAUUUCCAAAUCAGCUUGUCCGCUCAGAAGCACUAAAGCAGAGGCAACAAGAAGUGAAUAAUUCAACAAAUGCCUGGACUAAAGUAACCGUAACUCUUGGAGGGAAGUGGGUCUACCUCUGUUGGGAAAAAGAAAAUGUAAGACGGGUACAUUGGGUUCAGCAAACCUCAAGGGCUCUUUUUCUCAAACCAGGUCAUGCGUAUAUGACACCUGGAAGGAUGUUUUUUGCUUUUAUCACCCUGCUAUCUGCACCCAGGCAGCUCCGUCUUGAGUCGUGCCGUGCCCAUAGUGCUGCAGGGGCCGGCGAUCAGGGCCUUUGCCCUGUCUUGGAUCCGCAGCAGUAGGAUGACAGGCAGGAGAGCUCUGAUAUCCAGCCUGACUCUGUAAUUCACUGGCCCUACAUAUUCCCCAGAAUAUUUCUUAUUUAUCAUACCUGGCUCGUUUCCUAGGACUGAGUCCAAAACUGCUUCGGAUCUUGACGGCUGGAGUAUCAGUGUAAAUACAGCGUGCUGUACUCCCUCCAAGAGCAGUCCCCAACGAGUCGGCUGUGGUUGUCCCAGACAAUAGCGCGAUAUUAAGAUCCCCCAUUAUCAAUGGUUUGACUUUUAAAAAGCUGUCUGCAUAAACAAAGCCUAUUUAGUUUGUGAUUGUGCCCUGGAGAACGUCCUACAAUCACUUUCAUUUCCCCUUUUGCCUUCAAGGGGAGAGUUUGUCCUAGCGGUGAGAGCCGAGACUGGGAGCCGUGGCCUGGAUCUAUUCCCGGCUGAGCUAUUACUUUGCUGUGUGGCCCUGGCCGUGGCGUGGCAUUUUUGUUCUUCAGUUCAUUCAACUAAAUAAUGAAUAUUCUGUCUGGAAAUUGUUGAGAGAGACUCUUGUCCCUAUAGAGAACUGCACAAGAACAACUGGAUAAAUGGUAAUACGAUGGAAAUGAAAAUUUAAUAGAAUUAAAUUGAAAACAAAAUUAAAAAACCACAAACUUUAUUUCUUAAAGAAGUGCAAUACAACCUGACUUUAAGAUCUUCGAUUACUGAUAAUGGGCACCCAUUCCUUUUUGCUAGCCAUCCAUAGAAUAAAUUCUGCUUUAUUCUCUUGGUUCUGCUAUGACAAAUCACGUUUUGUGGAAGGCCACCACUUGCCAUGCAAAUUUUUGCUUCCUUCACAGCAGAGUCUUACAUAGAAGUUUUGUCUAUCCUAAAUUAUAUUCUCUCCCAUCCUUAACAAAGGAUUGGGGCCUUUUACAGUAGGGCCAAUAUUUUAAAACAUUUGGAUAUCCUAUAUUCUUUGCUUAGGUACUGAAGGCAGUGGAACAGCCCUUUCCCUGAACGACAUGCACUGGUGAAAAGCAUCCUUUGCCCUGCCAGCUCCACGGCCGGGAGUCCCGUCACCCACCCGGCUGGUCUGCAGCAGCUCUCCAAGUCGCCUUCUCUCUCCUAGCAGAGAUGAGCUUCUCUAAGUGAUACCCGAGACUUCUAGUCAGCAUUUCAUUAUAGGAUUUCCUCAACUGAAAGGACGCGUGCCAAAUUAACACUUUUCCUGGGGCCAUGACCAUACAUGGGGACCAUUUUGUAGCGAGAAGCUUUGGCACUUUUUCCCCUCAUUAGCACUGGUAGUUAAUUUGCUCUUCCCCGUUAGUCACUGCUGUUGUCAGAUUUGUUUCAUCAUCCUCCAAUCGCUCCUGUACGUGUACUUGUAAUCGGCUGAGUGGGAGUGCUCGCCCCUGGGGAACAUACUAUUUCACGUGUGCCGCCUCUGUUUCCCAGCCGGGGACAUAGCAUUGCCCGGCUCUUGGCAAGUGGUCUGCAAUGCAGCUGUCCUUACCCAUAUGUCUCUUCAGGAAACCUUUCUUAUUUGCGCGGUCCAUUUAUUUAUCUCCUAAGGUACGAGAAAGAUUUCAGCGCUGUGGGUUUGUUUGCAUUGCUCCCACAGAGAAAGAGAAUUUCCUGCUUCCUGUGAGGGAAGGUUUUUGCUCCUGGUGCAAGUCUCCUUUGCGUUGUGCAUGAUUGUCAUCUCCCUGUCCCUCCAGGCUCUGCUGCUUUUCCACUUGUGCUCUGGCAUUUGCUGUGUCUUCCAGCAUCUGAAGUCCCUGGAAGGUUUGUGUGUGACAGACCUGCCACCUUGCAGCCCCUCUUGCUUUUGAGCUGCUCUGAGGUGGGUGAAGCAGAAGCAAGAGUUAGGCCAUGUCAUCAAGAGAGAGCAGCCAGGGCGUUUAACUGAUCCCCCUCUCUUUGGGCAUACACAAAAGCCAUAAGCAACACUGCGUGUGACUCAGCUUUCCAAGUCUGCAAAUUUCAAAGCUGCUGAUUUCAUUGCCAUAACUGAACUGGGGGUUGCUUUUUCCUUUUCUGAUUUUUUAAUUUAGGACAUGUUUACAUGGGAAAAUUGGGAAAAUUAAUCUGGACUAACUAAAGGCUUGUGUUUAAAGUGGAUUCAUUCAACUGUAUUCAACUUCUAUGCGGACAGCAUUUCGGAGACCUUAAUUUGGUUUGUUGCAAUUUGCCUCCAAAAUGCAUUAAGAUAAACCAAAUUAAGGCCAUCUUUGUUCCAAAGAAAUAUUUUAUGUAUACUCAUUAAUUCUAAAAGUUCUUAGAUUAAUAUUCGAGAAAAUGUCCCUGUGUAGACACAUCAACAUUACUAAUAAUAUUUGGCUGAAGUGCAAGAUAAUGGCAAAGUCCAGGCUCAAAUAAAAGAGAUGAAUCAUCUCUAAAUCAUAUGUUACAAUAUAACAGGAUAAAGGACAAUUGUUUUGCUGGAGAGAUGCUUUCAUGCACAGAACAGCUGUAAGUCCAUUUUGGCCUCAUAGACAACAGCAGGGUGAGUUUGAACAUUGUCCCAUGUGCGUCCAAGGAGGGUAAAAUAGCCUGAUUUUGAAGGCACGUGUCAGCCAAAACAAGUGCAACAGCGGCAAUAUUUGAUUUGCCAGGCUUUGUCUCCAGUGACACCAAAAUUGAACAUAGGAUGGGUAAUUGAAUAAAUUAAUUCAUGGAGAGCCUCAAGUGGUCACAGUUGAAUCAGACCUGAUCCAGAGACCUCUGAGGGUGAAGACACCCUGUCCCCUAUUGAACUGUAAGGUACCCAGGUGCCACUGCCACGCUGCUGUCUGCAUCCCGCAUCCCUUAGGACGCUGUAAGAGGCAAGGGGUCCCAAGCUCUCCCGAGCCCACUGCUUGAAAGCUGCGGGCACUCUUUGGAAGCCAAAAAGUUGCUUCAGACUUGCAUCAGCAUAUCCCAGGAUAAGGUGAAUUUUGUAAUGGAGGUGACUCCUUCUGCCAGUAAAAAUGUAAAACAAAGAGCUUAACACCUAUCCAUUACUUAAGCACACAUGGACCCAUUUUCAUAGCCUUCCUCUCCAGUGCCUCCUGGAAAAACAGUUCCUUGGAAAUUACCAGUAAUUGUUUUAUUCUCUUUGAUCUCCACUAAUAAAGCUAUGGACUAUCACUCAGCAGGAGCUGUUCCUCUUAGUUAGGAUCUUUCCAACAGUAGUUACAUUAGAAAGGCUCUGGGGAAAUUUCGGUAAAUGCACUUGAAAAGAGCUCUGCAAAACUGCUUAGACUUUCUAUAAAAAUAUUUCCCCUACGUUUGUUCUUUGACUGCUCAGCACACUUCUCAGCUUGUUUGUUUUUCCCUUUAUUGAAGCUGUUGUUGGACUGAGGUGAAAGCUAGAGAAGACAGUUGUGACUUCCUUGUCAAGAGAUCUUACAGCAGCUGGAGAACAGAGCUAAAGAUUUCUGAAUCCCAGACAAGCUGCUAUAGAAAUUGAGCUUGAGAAUAACAGUGCCUUGCCAGCUCAUGAUGUACUUUCUAACCAUAGUAAGGAAGAUGGCGGAGUGAUGAAUAUCCAUUGGUCUUCCAGCAGGGAUCCCUUCACGUCUGAUGUGAUAUAAGAGCCUCCAGCAUCCCUGCUUAUAUCCCAGAAUAGAAAAUGUCAUUUAAUUUCCCAAAAGAGCAGCAUUGACCAGACUUAAAAAUAGCUGAGUACUGCAUUCUCAUGGAAAUCAGUGUAAAUUGGGCCUGCUGCAUUAAAAAAUCCCAUUCCCCAGUAGGAAUGGUUGCACUCUGGUACUGGUAGCCAAGUCGUUGUCAGAUAUUGGGAGAUCUGGCGGUUCAAUCAGUUCUCAGCUGGUGGCUCUGGACACACAGUAGCAUCUCGGUUCUGCAGUCCACUUGGAUAGCAAGUGGUCUGUUUAGGAAACAGGGAAAUUGAUAUAUCUAGAAUUUUCAGUCCCCAGGCUUUAAGUAGUGCAGAAUUAAAAAUGCUGCAUUCAGACAGAACUGAGCAUCAACUUGGCAGGUUGGGUGAGCAAGCUGAGCACACGCCCACCUCCGGUGCAUGCAUGAAAUACAGCCCUGAGUGAGUGCACGGCCGCGUUCGGCAUGGGCUUGUUCUCACGAGCAGCUCUCUGCGAGGCAAAGGCUCUGUGGUCACCUUAUGUAGAGCUGACAAAAGUAUGGACGAGUGUGAGAAGAUGCAAAGAGGAAGGCAAAUGUCAGAGCCCCUGGGUGCUGAUGGAAGAACCCUUUAAAAGCUAUUUCACCUUCCAAAUGAAGUGAACAAUGAGCUACCCAAGCUGUGACCUCUUUUGGCUGCUGCUUACCGUUGUGCCUUCUCUGAAGUUGGCAAUGGUCUUCAAACCAAAGGGUGGGUGAAGGCCUUUGAAUGGAAGGGUCUGAAGUGUAUCCAUGUACCUGCCUCUUGCAUAACUGGCAAUUGGAAGCAAGAGUAAUUGCACCAGCUGGUAUCUUUUUUUCUUUUUUCUCUCCAGCUAGAAACUUAAAAAGCUUAAAGAACCAACUGCACAGCCUUAAAGUCGUAUUUACUGUGUUUGGCAUCUUGCCACAAGCAUUUGGAGUAUGGCUACUGUAGAUGUUGAUAGCUGAUUGCUGCUUUAUACUUAAUGAUCUCAUGGAUGUGCGAAGUAAAGAAGUAUAAUCCCCAGUGAAGACAGGGGCAGGGUUGGUGAGGAAUAAAAGAUCUCUUCCUCUACACUGGUUUUGAUCUUUCUAUAGGCUGGAAAUGAAGAACAGUAAUUAAAGCUUAACUGGAAGAGAUCAGAAAGCUUUUAAAAUUAAUAAAACUUGUAACAGGCAUCAAACAUGAUCAUAUUUAAAGGAUAUGCAGGCUGCAGUUUUAGUCUGUGCUCAGAUUGAAUUUAUGUUCUUUCUGUAUAGGGGUGCUGGCCCCAAAAGUGCUAGUGUGUGCUACAGGAGCGGGGACUGUGCUCCAGCCAGUCUGCUGGUGGCACUUUCCUAAUCUCAUGUUGGAUUUUCCCUGCUGUAAAUCCACAGACCAAACUGGAGGUAUCCCAGAUGUACACUGGUGUGUCAGGCCUUACCCACAGGGAUGCUAGCAACUAGUGCACGGGAGUCUCAUUCCCAGCUCAGUCACUCACCUGGAGCUGGUGUUUUUCUUUGAACUUUUAGAAGGUCAUAGUUGUUCAGCCGUUUUUAAGGAUGGGACCGUCACCCCAAGACAUGCCUCCAGGAGCUGAUGCUUUAUGUAAAGAAUCUCAAACUGCCUGAAUUGACAGCAUUGAAAAAAUGAAACAAGACACUCCAUUCUCUCCUGAUCCUUUAAAGACAAAGACAUCCUGAGUACUAUUUGGGAAGAUAACAACUUAAUUGUUCAACCAAAAGCCCGCAUUUUAAUUUACCCAUUAUCCUUUCAAAUAGAAAUAUGCUUUAAAUCAAGGAAGAGACAGACAGACUGACCACUGCCUUAGAGACUUUGAAAGGCGUCAGCUUACAGCAGUUUUGGUCUAUACUGGUAAUAUUUUCCUGCAGGAGAUAGAUUUUCUCUAUUUGAUCCUGGGGGGAACAUGAUGCUUACACCAGAAUAGCCUUGCGCAUCUACCACAACAACUGUUUAGAGCAGGGAACAGAGACAGUGAUGACUACAGGAGACUCAAAGGCCUACGCUGAAGAGCUGUGCUUUAGAUAUUGUCGGUUCACUAGCCUGAAGGGGCUGGUGAGUGCAAAAGGUUCAGCAUGGACAUCGGAGACCUCGCCAAGAAUGAAAACCUCUUUCUGCAGUGCUGUGGCAUCCCGUUGUCUCAGGGCUCUGGCCACGAUAUGGGUAGCAAAGCUCUAAGCUGGGGGCACUCCAGCAAAGGCAGGUUGCAUUUUUUUCCAGCCUAAAUAAGUCCUGUAUGGAAUUAACACACUUUUCUCAUCUCCAAAGCUGACCUUUGGGAGGAUGAAAGGAGGCAAAUGGUCCACCUCUUUCCUUUUACUACCUGGAAACCAAUGAGAGGUUAAACUUCAUCUGCACUAAAGUGAUGUGCAAGGAAAGGACAAAAAGCAGCCAGUACCUCCUGCCAGCCUCGAUCGAGAGGGGACGAUGAGAAGGGAGAGGAUGUUUCAGCCCUUCACUGCCAUUUAUUCCAGCACUAAAAAAAAAAGAUUUUUUUAAAUCCUAAUGCUGAAACACCUACUAAAAAGAGUACUAAACUACGCCAGAAGAACAUCUGGGAGAUAGGACUUUUUGCAUUAACCCAGAUGAUUUUUUUAUUUAUUUUUACUGCAAAUGAACUCUCAAUGGCUUUCUUUAAAGGUCACCUUUUUUUUUUUUAAACUACUGUGCUAGGAAAAUGCUUUUAAGUUUCAUCUGCUUUGUGUGUGUGCAUUUUCUAAGCCCUGGGUUUAUUUCUUAUUGGAAAAAUGGUCUUGGAUCAUGUCUGAGUUGGAAAUUUUAUUUUAUGUAUCAGAUGCAUAGGAGACAGGUUUUUUAACUCUUUGAAAACUUGAUUUCUCUUUUUUUGGUGGGUGCUCGGCACUAAGCCUUUACACCUCAAACAAAUCCUGCCUUCUGCACCUCUUCCUCCUGCCACCUGCUCUCUGCCAGCAUCUUUUCUGGGGCCCUAAAUUUCCCUGUUUUAGCUGCUUCUAUCUCUGCCUCGCCGUUGGCACAUGGAAGGGGUUAAAUGGAUUUUUUCAAUUCUGCUUGAUUACUAAUGAGCUAUUAUUUCCUCUUCCUGGCACUAUCACUGCUAACAGCUCCAGAAGGAGAGGCUGUUUUUCCUGCAGUGACCUCCGUGGUACGUGGAGAGGUCUGAGGUCUGAAGGAGAGAUGCAGACAUUUUCACAUGUUGUGCGCCUCCAGAUGUUCACGGGCAAAGUAAAGCUUUCCAAAAUUUGAUAGCAAAUCCAAAAUGUUAUUACAUCCUUCUACACUUCAGUAUCCUCUCCAGAAAAAGAGCUCUGUGCUGACAAAUAACACCAGGAGGGCAACAGUCAUGUAGGAAGGCACCAGCUAGGUUUGUAACCAUAAAUCGUUAUUGGGGAUUAACUCUCUGGUCAAAACUGGUUGCCUGAGGAUUACUCAUAGACAAAUAGAUUUUCAAAGGUGCCCAAGUCAACUCAGAUUAUCCAGACUUUGUCCAAACUCAGCCAAACCUUAAAGCACUCUAAUUCUCAUGAGAAGUCUUGCUUUUAGGUAGAUUAGGAAGAAACCAGAAAGAAACACAGAAGGACAAAUGCCCACAUGAAAAGCAUCCAGUUUUCUUUUCCCUAGGGGCUCAUCAUUUGCCCCAAACCCAUUUGCUUGAUGCAGGCACAGAAGCUGCUGGAGGUGUUGUGCCAUUGCGCAGGGCUUGCUGAGACAGGAUCAGAGAAGGCUACAAUCCCUCUCGAAAUCUGCAAUGGUUGUAGAACCAGGGCUACUUCUGCAUAAAACUAGCAACCUGCAUUGCUGUCCUUGAAAGCUGGAGUCAAACACUUUAACCUAGGCUAGCCCUAGGCUACACCAACUGUUGCUCACACUCUGCAGGACAUUUCUUAUGCUCUUGUGCAGAAUUACCUUAAACAAAGCCAUAACGAGUUGCUUCCUUGGACAUAGUACAUGAAUUCUAUAUUUAUUGAUUACAAAGCAGCACUGGCUUGAAAGGAAUCUCCCAGGCUGCUCACUGUGCAAGUAUGUCACAUAACUCUUCUAUAUUUAUCAACCUUCAUCUUCAAACUAGUUAGAUUUUUGCUUUUCUAAUCACAUUAGAAGGCUGUUCCUGAGCCUCACUCCUCUGAUGGUUAGAAUUACGCCUCCAAUUUCCAUCUUAAUUUAUUUAUAGCCAGUUGAUUCAUGGUGCCAAAUAAGUAAUACUAGAAAUAUAAAAAUAAAAAAAACAUUUAACAAUCUGUCCAGACUGAGAACAGAGAAUGGAUUAAAGAUCUGUAUUUUCAUUAUUAACUAAGCAUAUGAUGGUACAUUUUCUUAACAGAAAUUUGCAUUUCAGGAACAGAUAAAUAGCCUACAUAGAUGUUACUUUAGUGAAACCAAAACAGUUCUAAUCAAUACGGUCAUAUACAAUUUCUAGCCCAACAGAUUUCCACCAUAUCACCCUUCUUCAUAGAAUGAUUAAAAACCAGAAAGCCAGUGAUUUGGUCUGAAGCUUUCUGGACCUUUAUCUGCUGAAUAGUUUGCCUUCAAGAGGCCAGAAGUUACCGUAGGUGCAGCCUUCUUUCUUCAUAUGCUUAUGAGAAUGGAUCAGCUCUUAUGGUCUACGUUGCAUUGCAGCAAACUCCACCUUCUUUGCAGUCCAUGUAAAGCCAAAUUCCAGGGGCAUGGAAACUCCUUCCCUCUUCUCCAGGGCUUAUUGCCUAUCCCAUCAACUUGAAAGCCAAAAGGCUACAUCUAAAAUGAUUUCAUCUUCCAAAAAUUCUGACUUCCACAAGAACAUUGCUAUCUGUAGUUACGACAAGAUGGCUGUUUGUUAGUGUCUAUUAGCAAUAGCGUGAAUAUUAGUUAGAAAUGCUGAAGAAUUUUAUUCCACAAAGACACAUUUGGGAGAGUAUCUUAUUCCUCUGCUCUGGAGGAGGAAUUGCAGUGUGAAAUUUCAUAGCUUUCCUGCUUCACUGGCACUAAUAACUUGUAAUCAAGCUAUCAUCAGCUGUAUGAUUCAAAGGGUUUCUUGUUAUUUUAACUUCCCCGGGGAAAGGUUUACUCCUCAUGGUGUUCUGUCACGUCGUGCUUUCACCUGCAGUGAGAGGGGAGGGCUUUGCUUCAUCCCGCUUUGCUUUCAUGCUUCCUCCAUGGACCUGGUCAUACCUGUCACCUUGUCACCUGUCAGGUUUGCCCUGCGUGGCUUAGGUGGUCGGGUGGACCGAGUGCGGCUCAUUUUGCCUGGUGCAGGUUUGAAGCUGUUCUUCCUACAAGGGCAUGACAUGGAUGACGUCCAGCAAGGGCUGGUGAUGGCCAGGCACCAGCUCAUUUGGAUGUGGUAGAAAAUAUCACCGAUCUCCUGUGCCCUUUGUUUAGACAACGUACCUGCAAACAAUUGUUCUGCGGGCGGCUUCCGAAGUGUGUGAUCUUCGUGGGGAAACCCUUGCCCUUUGCUCUGCUGGGAGUCACGGGCUUUGCCAUUUGCCCGUGUCUCUUGGCAGAGCUCAGCCGGGUGGUUUGGACGCAGGUUGUGACAUACGGGUGCUUGCGGGCUGCUUUGGAGACCUCACCACACCUGAUGGCCGCGGGUGGCUGCUGUGCUGCGCUGCAGCUCACAAGGGCCUAGGAAACCCAGGUUCUCCAAGCCAGCACGGUCCGGCUUGUCCUUCCGCUCCCGUUGCAUUAGCACAGUCCUUGUCACUUUAAACCCUCAGUGCUUUGCUCUCCCUUCCUAGCCAGCUAGCUUCCCAUCCACCAAACAUGUAGUUGUCAUGUUUUCUCCCUUUAGCACGGACACUGGGUGGCAUCUCCUGUUCGGCUUCCCACCAUGGCCCGGGAGGAGGCCGGGAACAGCAUCCAGGGCAGGGCGCGGAGCCCAGCAGACGAGCACAGCCAUCCGUGCCUGCACCCAGGCGAGCGUCAGGCCUCCCAGUCACCGUCCCAGUCUCCGUGCAGGCUGGCUGGGUGGGAGCGGGGCUGGGGGCUCGCCGCAGUCGCUGGCAAUGUCAUGCUCACCUGGCCCGCGGGGCCUGGCUUGAGUCUUGGCGCUGACACCCUGCUGCGGGAUAGGCUGGAGCCUCUCACCCACGCUGAAUUGUUUCCUUGGCCUGUGCAUGUCUGUAGUAUGGCAUAUGCUUCUUUUCCAUUUGAUAACAAAAGACAUGAAAAGAUGCAUAGUGAUUUACUGCCUGCAGAAAUGCACACUGUAAUGCGGCUGCAAGAUCCCUCUGAAUCUGCUAAGGCGAUGGCUCCCGCCCCUUCGCAGCGAGCACAUGGAGAAGUCUGGGAAUUAAGAAGUUCCCUGACCGCCACCUCUGCAUGUCCGGACAGCCAGUGCAGGAGUUAAUGCAAUACUGCAUUGCAGCAGCACGCUCUGCACCCCAGCCUGGACCUGUGAGAAAAGGGAGGAGAAGGAAAAGCAAACAAAUCUUAGGGCUGGAGAGGGGACGACUGAAACAGAAACAGAAAAGGAGGAGAGGGAAGGACUGUGACCUGACAAAGAAACCAGCAGGCUCAUUCGCAGACCUUGGCUGCCAGAUGGCCUUGUCCUGCAAAAGGGGUUUGGGGCCUUAUUUGUCCCACCAGGAUCAGCUGGGCUUUGUGGGGACCUCACUGCUGGCUCUCUGCGUUGCUCAGUUCACAGGGGAUGUUAAUGCCUCUUGCAGUGGCCUCAGCCUGAAUUGCAUCUCGCCUCUGCAGCGAAGUCCCCGACCGUCCUGGGCAGCUCAGCCCCAGCGUGACGACGCUCCCGCCUGUCCUGUGCCCUUUUCAGCCCAGCUCACUUCAGCAGCCGCACAACUGCGGCUGAUUUGGGAAUUCUGCUUUCAUACGCUGUUCUCAGUCACUUUAUUACUUUGCCAGACUCUAACUAAUCAGCUUGAAAUUUCCUCCAUAACAUUUAAAUUACAAAAAAAAAAAAAAAAAAAAAAAAAAAAAAAAAAAGGCUAAAAUAUUCCAGCUGCUCAAGAAAGGGAAGAGAAGGUAAAAAAAUGCAUUGUGUCCUCAUUUUAGAAACAAGGCAAUGUUUUGCUUUGCUGUGAACACCCACCGUCCAGGAGUCUAAUCCCCAUGUGAGCCUCGGAGGGUGCUCUGGGGUCAAGGAUUUGCCGUUCUCCCCCUGUGAAAUUUGCCUGUGCUGGGACAAAGCUGCUGAAAGGCAGCUCUGUGCAGUGCUGGGGAGCAGUCCUGAUAUGCAAAGGUUGAUUUUGCUCUUUUAAGGCGAGCACUUCAGACAAGCCCUUGCUGAGACAUGAGUAGACCCAGCUCUCACUGCACUGCACAUUAAAGUACCUGGGCUGGGGUGGGGGAAAUCCAUGUUUUGGGGGUGACUUCCAGCUGGAUGUUUGUAACUUGUGGAAUAGCUGCUAUCACCGCUUCACAGAGCCAUCUGCUGAACAUAGACCAAUUGGAGCUGGUGAAUUCAGUAUCCUAGAUUUUAUUAAAAAUCCUGUCUAUAUGUGGAGUUGGACACUAACUGUUGACAAUGUGAGUGGACUUUAGGUACCAGACAUAGCCCAGUGGCUUUAAAGAAGACCCAGUCCAUGUGCUGGGCAGUAACUUGUAUUAUUUUGAUUUUGGAUUUUGGUACUCUUUAAUUAAAGGUCCUGACUUUAUAAUCCAAUCAAUCUAGAUAAAUAACAACUGUCUUUUGCAGAUAAAGUUGUAGGCUUAUCACUGCCCAACAGCCAUAUUUCAAAGACGAUCCAUAAAAUUACCUACCAAAUCAGCGUACAUAGCAUCUGGCCGCUCCAGCUGUGUGCAGGCAGAGCUCUGCACUUGUGCUGACAGCCGCAUUCCCUCGACACGAUGCCAUCCUGGACACACGUCCCCGCCAGCCCUUCUCCUCUUACCACCAUCACAAAGAUGCUUCUUCCUUAGAAGUCUUAUCCCCUCUACUACUCAUCCCAUUCAUCCCACAAAACCUCUAGCUCGAAGUUAUGGUAAUUACAAGGGGGAUGUGACAAAGCUGGAGGAUGAGACGUAAUGCAAUUAGUAGACUAUUUUACCUUCUUCACCUUUUCCUGUGGAAGAGCGUUGUUCUAAUGAAUAGUAUCAAACAACCAUUUCAUUGUGACCUAAUUGAGCAGUUACUUGUGCCGCAGAGGCGUCAGUGAACCCAUACGGGAAUGCUUUUCAGGGCUCGGUGGGAAAGGCAACAUCUUGGAUUAGCACGUAUAUGCAUAGGGGGUGAACGGGCCAGUCCUACCUUUAAUGCCUGCUUGUUUGCAUGAGCCUUGCUAGACUUCGCCUUCCUCUGAAGCAAUGUGCCCAACACAACACCAAGAGCUUGGGGCAGACCCCAGGCCUCAUCUCCACUCCUGCGUGUGAGCAGCUCUUUUCCCGUGCCCUGAGAAGCUGCAUUUUCUCAGUGCUGCUUCACUGGGAAGUUGCACUGGCAGAGGUGAAAGUAAGAACAAGUGAGGCAGUAGCAGCAGGGCUGAGUGUGCAGAGGGUAUUUGCAGAGCCAAAAAGCCUUUACAGACCUGCCUAAGCUAAACUUGCCCCCAGAUAGCACUGCUGUCUCGUUUCCUGGAAUAUAUUACCUACACCUAGCUGACAAAAAAAAACAGAGGAAAAAAGGCCAUUUUGUAAUGCAAUCAAACCUCAAUUGCCCAUUUGUUUUUGUCCUUUAAAAGAGCUAAUAACUUGGUAAUUGGUGGAGAUGUCUCCUGGGCUCCAUCAGAGAAAGAGAGAUUUUCCCACCAUGAAACAGAGAGGGAUAAUCUUCUAAUGAAGAUAGGGAGGUAUUACCCAAAUUAAAGGAAUCCAUGUGGAUUUCUACCUGAUGUCCAAGCCAGAGAAACCUUGUUUCUUUGAGUGUUUCCUUUUAACAGAGUGGAGAUUUUUGGUGAUAUUACUGUAGUAAAGCCUAGCUGGAGUUCUCCUCUUGGCAAGGAGGGAUCCCAGCCCACUGAAAGGUAGCAGGGGUUAAAGAUACAUGGAAGCAUUUUCACUGCCAUAUCUAUUAAGGAGCUAUGUGUCUAGCUUUAUGUGUCUAGCUCGGGUCCAAAAAAUAUGCAAAUAACCUGAAAAUGGGCCCUAAAGUUCAGCUCUGGCACUAUUUGGAGUCUUUCUCGGAGCUUCAUCUUGUGACUGUCCCAGAUGGGUGAUUCCCAGUGGAGAUGGCACUCGGGGCUGUAUGGGGCCCGGGUGCCAUGGCCCGAAGCCACCCAGACGAAUGCCACCUCCAGAGCACUCACGUCCACCCAGCAGAGUUCAAGCGCUCUUUGCUGGCCUGAGCUUUUCAAAAAAACAUACUUUAGUGAUGCAUCCUUGGGAAUGGAGGGGUUUUAUUGCCCAUCCUGAGAGACUGGUCUAAUUUUUCAAAGAGAAAAGCUGGAGUGCAGAAAAAGCUUGAGGCUCCACCUGAGCCAGCCUCCAAUUUAUUGUCUUUCAGUCCCAGUGCCAGGAAGGCCCCAAGGUAUAUGGGAAGCAUAAACUUUUAGCCCUUCAUUAUAUCGCACAUUAAUUAAUAUUAAGAUGCUGCUCUAUGCUGCUUUUAUCCUUUGCAAAGUACUUGUGGUUUCUUCAGGAUCCAGGAGCUAUAUAACAGUAAAUUAUCAUUUUAUUGAAGUGAUUGGCUUUAUCCUAAAACAGGUUCUUAAAGAACAGGCUUUAAAGGUUAAACUCUGUGCCAGGGUAAUAUGUAUAUCACAGUCCCGGGUGCCUUUUGUGUUUAAAAACUGAAGGUUUCCAUCUGUAAAAAGAGGAAUUUAGACAUGCUGAUAGUCUGACAUUUAAAUGUGAGCAGCGGAAGAUAAACACAGUCUGACAUAAAGUAAAUGGGGUGAUAUUAGGGAAAGUUAAAUUUCACAUAUUCCUGCUGCUGCUUCUGCCUGCUGGGCUGGCGGUACCCGACGGCGAGCGUUCCCGGGCAUUAACUCCGCCGUGUCCCGCGGCUUGUCCGGCCGGUCAGCACAACGCGCAUGGGAAGCAUCGCGCUGGCCUGGCAGCCUGUUCAAAACCUUUUCUGGUCAGCAAAUGAGCCUUAUGUACCUACUUGCAGCUAGAAAAACUAGCUCAGAAGGGAUUAAGGGCUCAGGUCUUGGCUGCAAUCUCAGCAAGCAAGGCGUUGUAUGGCAGUUCUGGUCGGAUGUUUUGGUGCUGGCACUUUAUGCCCAUCCCUUACGCAGGCAACCUUGAACUGAACCAGCAAAACUUGCAUUCGUGAAUAUUUUCAAAAUCUCUCGCCUCUUCGGUAAACUAAUCCCACACACAACUGUAUGUGACAAAACAGCUUUCCGGGAUCUUGUCUGGCUUUCCCUCUUUAAAGUCCCGAGGGUGUGUAGGCAGGUUAAAUAAUGCAAAAGCAGCUGUAAUUAUCCUGUGCAGUUUCUCUGGAAACAUUUGAAAAAUAUUAGGGAAUUGGGCUUUUUCUUUUCCUGGCCUCCUUUUCCAGGGGUCUAGAACAAAUCUAAUGGUUUAAUGAGAUAUAUGACAACAUAUGACAUGAAGGAGAUUUUUAGUGACUUUCAUUACCCAAACUCAAUUAGAGGGGAGUAAUCAGCGAGUCCCCUGCCGUGACAAGUGUGAAAUGAAAUGCUGGCAAGAUGGGACAGACAGGAGAAGCGAGACUCGCUGCGAGAAGGCACAGAGAUACUCCCGGCAUCCCCCACCGAAGCCCUCCCUGAAUAAUGCAGCAUGCAGAUUGCGGAUUAACAACUCCUCUGCUGUUUUCUUUCCUCCAAACUGAGUAAUUAAACAUAAAUAGCCCCACACGCUAUUGUUUUAGAAACCAUGGAUUUGAUGUCAGAUAAAGUCCUUUGUUUGCUUGUUUCUUGGGAGGGGGAGGAAGGGAAACACAGGGUGGUUUGGUUUUUGCUUUCUUCCUUUCGGUCCCACAGUAAGAUUUUUGAUUUCGGUGUGCGUUAUUAUACCCGUGGCUGGGCCUAGCUUAGUGCUGUUUGGUGCUGGGCACGGGAAUGUCACGAAAGCUGUGCAACCUCCUUGCUCUGGGGCUGGUUCCCGCAAGAGGUGCUGGUGCCAGGUUCAGCGCCGGGAGGAGCGGCAGCCCGUCGGGGCUGUGCACGCGCCUCCGUUUCUGAGCUUGCCGGGAUUAUCCACAGCAAGCUGCUCCCACUGAGACACACGUUCAUUCGUCCGACUGAGACCCGGAGCCUGCGUGCUCUGGGAACCGGUGACAUGGAAAAAACCACGGAUUUGCAGAAUGCCUGGCCAGACAGCACGGUCUGCGAUUUGCCUCGGGCGCCUCUCUCAAAACCCUGGUUCCCUUUGCGAGCGAAGAGCGGUGCAUCCACCGCUGCCAGAGGUAACCAGGUAAAGUGCUUUGAAGAGGCGGACGAUGAGUGAACCCCCCCGAACAGCUCGGUGAGGAUUAUACGUGCCGGCCCACACUCGGAUAUGCUGCAAUUUUACUCGUGUUCAAGGAGAAUCUCAAUUAGCAAAAUGCAUUCGUGUCCGCAGCAUAAAUUCUUUUCCUGGGAACAUGUCAUUCCCCAGGCAGGCGGCUUUGCCGGCUUUUGCAGGAUUAGCUCCAGCACUUUCCCAAAUGGGAGUGAGCAGAGAUCAGUUUAGACAUGUCCUUGCAUUAUUGCAGGAGGGCAAUAAUACAACAUCAUGUUGUUCACAGAGCAGAUGAAAAGACACCACUUUCAGGGAGCAGUGUGAUUCCUACUACAAAUCACCUCCUGUCACUGAAAAAAAGAAAAAGAAAGAAAGACUCAUCAGCUCCUGGGAAAUGGCUAUUACUUUCUGAUCCAUUUACAUUUGGAGAUUCCUUAAGCAGUGUAGAUUCAACGCUGCCCAAGUGAGGAAAGCAAAUGUGGGUUGCAGGAGACACGCUUAACUAGUCACUUACAAUUCCAGGCAAGGCUUUUGCUGUCAUUACCUUCAUGAUUUUUUAAAGACGCAACCAACAGCAUAUGCAAAUUAGCACCUGAGCUUAUUAGGGGGGAAACCUACUGCAUACGUAAGUGCACAAAUGUGACUGAGCUGCAGGCACACUAGGGAUAUUUUACACGGUCACUCACACCCAUCAUGAGGCCUUUAGAUUGCUGGACUGGUUUCAUAGGGGCAGGUGUAACUGGGAUUUGGCUGCACUGGGCUGGCAAAGGGAGCUAAGGGCUCACAUCUGGUGGCGGGGGCAGCCCUGCUGCCCCUCCGUCCCGUGCCCUGACCCUGCCCUGAAAAAGCCAGUGGAGUCUGGCCAGGUUCGUGAGCUGAACCAGCUCUGAGAAAGGUCUCCUGAGUGCCAGGGUGGGCACAGGGGACGAUGCCCGAGCUUCCAGUGGCAGCAAUGAGAUAUUAAAUUGGCUUGAUCAUAUCAAGCUCUGUCUGCAGCAUUGCUCUUUCUGUCUUCUUUUUGGGGAUUAAUUGCCCGUGCAAACGCACAGCCCUUCUGCCUCUCCACCCUUCCCCUGGCUCACGGUCACCUUGCACCCCUUCCCGGUGGCAUAGGGGGCCGUAGGAAAGUGCCCAGACGUGCACACGAGGAGUUGCAGCCCUGCGGGAGUGCACUACAAAGCAUCCUGCAGUCCCCAAGAAGUGACUUCAACUUUAAUGCUCCCCGACAAGAUAAUUUAGUCAUCUUAGCAAGUGCGACAUCCAUCCCAGCACUCACCAAGCAUCCUGGGUUCAUCUGACACAGCCAUCUUCCUUCAGGGUGUCUAAUUCAAUAAGUAACAACACGGCAGAGUGGAUGCUGCAGAAGAAGGUGGUUGCCAGAUACUCGGUAAUGCGGACAGACACAGCAAGACGAAGAGGAGCCUUUGGUGGAACAGCUGACCAUCACAUGGGUUAUGCAGGUUUUUUAGUAAAUAACAAUUAUUAUACAAAAUUUUCAUUAUAGGACAAAUACUCACAAUAACAAUAUAUUUAAACUCAAAACUAUCUUCACCAGCUUUUGGACAUUUGAAAUCUGUCCUAGUGGAAUUACACUAAUGAAUGCACAGACAAUAACAAUGUAUGGAAAUAAUGGAAAGGCAAGAUAUUCCUCAAUAAGGAUCACAUUUUUAAAGCAUUGUGAUAGAAACAGAAAAAAAUCAUGAUAGACAGUAUCUGCACAAGAUUGUGGCUGAAGAGCCAAAGGUUACAAGCUGCAAAAGCUGGGCCCAUCUGGGGAAUGCUGGAUACACUAUUUUGGGACAGGAAGGAGACAGACUGGGUACUCAGAUCUUUUCUAUUGCUAGCAAGUGAGGUUUUUUCUUAGGAUAAAUAUUAGCUGGAAAGGACUGAAUAUUAGAAUGUAUUCCUAUGACAUCUAGCAUUUAUCUGUCUACAGGAAAUACUAGGAUAAAACUGAUGAAAUGAAAAGCUCUCUGCAAGAUAUCAUUCCAGCCCAGUGAAUUCCAUUAGUUUUCCUGGGACUAGGCAGAGAGCAGGUCCCCAAAGCCUGUCCCUGCAGACCGAGCUUUGGCCACGCAGGUUGACUACAAGGCAGGCUGCUCCCGCAGAGAGCCUAAGCCAAGGAUAGCCCAGGCACAGCCGAAUAUUCCCCCACAAAAUACCUAGCGGAUGCCCUUGGACUCGGCACGGAGCAGCUUCUGCUCGUGCAGGCACUGCUUUCGAAGUUGGUGCUUUGGUGGCAUACCCAGCAGCUGGUCACUGGCACUGAUUGCUGCACAGCGACGUCUAUCUCGAGAGGCGACAGGAAAUUUAUCUCCCAGCACCUCAUCAAAUCAAGUGCAAUUCCUGACCGUUUGCCAAAUGGGAGCGAUAACCGCGCUAAGUGCCUUGCAGGAGAGUCCUCUCCAAAUCACGUGUGUGGAUUGUGAGCUCCCGUCGGCUGCAGUGGUAUAUGACUUGAUUAAGCCCUUGCAUAGGAGAGCUCUGCUGACCUGCCAGGAAAGGUCAGAGCUGCCUCUCUUACACUAUGGACAUUUUCUGCACAUGGCACAUUAACUUCCUGGAUACUAAAAAUCUGUAUCAUGCCUUCAGGUUGCCAAACACAGUCCAAUUUGUUCAUGUUAGCUAAUUUCCCCUGAGCUUCAUGAUCUAAAAGAAAUUGGUACUUUUCCUUUCUCAGCCACUCGAAAACAUUUCUCUUCUAUUCUGCAGGGCCUUUCCCAGAAGUAUGAAGGUGGGGGAAGCUGAAUAAUAAAUAACCUGUAAGUCUACAAGUUCUCUGCUCCUCAUCCUUUACCCCCUGGAAGGGCCCAAACGCAGUCGGUCCAUCCCAGUCUUUGCAUUCGGGGCCUGCGAAGGACUAUGCAAAGCCACUCUGUGAAAUGAGCGGGGAAAUACUUCACUCACCAAGACGGCUGUGCUUUAACUGCAAUGAAACACCUACUUAAAGAGAAAUGGCUCGCCUGGUCAUGCAGUCUGCCCACUGCUUUGAGGUUCAUCACAGGACUUCAAGCAAAAACAAUUACUUACAAUACAGUUAUAUGUCUGACUCCUUGCAAAGUCACCAUGCAAUGUUUGGAAAAUUUCCAGAAAAUGUGAAUCCUUUUAAAAUGAAUGCUGGGAGUAUCUAUAGGGGGUCAUGUAGAAUAUUCAUAAAUAUAUACAUACUAGUUAGUGCAUUGCCCUGAGCUCAGCUUUCCAUCGGUGCCUUAAAGCAGUGACUAUUGCUAAACAGCACUGAACUCAUAUUUGACAUUCUCUAGCCAUCCCCUCUAGCAACUAAAGGGAUGUAAAGACAAUAUUGCAAAGUAAUCUGAACUAGUUGUCUAAUGCAAAGCUGGCAGGCUCUCAAAGCUAGUCAAGAUAUAAUGAACAGGUGGAAAACAUUGGCGAACUAUUGUAUAUUUUCUGCUUCUGCAGGAAUACAAUGGCAGCAUUAUUCAUCCAGGGCAUGGUACAAUUUCCUUCGGCAUGCCUAGGAGUCCUCCCAGUGAUUUCAAUAGGAGCUGAAUUGGAGCCUUUGUGGCAAACACCCAGGGAAUAACUGUGAGCCCUCGACUUGGCCUUAGCGGGAUGGUGGAGCAUAUGGGGUCCUAUUAAGAAUGUCAUAUUCUACCUUCAGUGUUGCCAAGAAAUCCAGGUGAUAUUCGCUUGCACCUUGGCUUUUGGCUUUUGGACAGGAAGAGCAAAUCCAGUCGUUUGAAAACAGUUGGCAUCUUUUUCUGUCACCUCUGCGAAUAGAUCUACUAUUUGGCAAAAAUAUGUAACAAAAUGCCAAUUACAAAUGUCAGGUAAAGCCUGUCAAUGUGAAUGCAGAUUACAUAUGUGAGGGAAUGGAAGAAUUGUGUUUUCAAGGGGCAGGAGUCCCUUGAAUGUGGUUUUGUUCCUGAUUCUGCUAAUUCACAGUCCCUUUGGGACAUGUUUUCUCUGUUUCCUUCUUCAUCUUCUCUAUUUACACUAUAAAGUCUUUAGGGCAACUAUUGCUUUGCCAUGUUUUUACUCAAUACCUAAAACUCACCUGAAUCUCUUCAUCAUCACUGUGAAUCGAAGGCAGAAAUCUCAGAUUGUUUCUUCAACAAACUGCUGUAUGGCACCGAGCACAAGAGUCCUGCUCCCGGAUGAGGUGCCCAGGAACCACAAUAGUGCCAGAAUUAGAACUAUUUUAAGUCUGGAUUUUAAGAGGUCUGGAUUUAACAAUGCUUUGCUAUGUAUCCACAGUAAAGAAACAGCAAACAACACCUAAAUAUUUCAGAGUCCUCAUCUGUAUAAAAUUAGAUUCUUCCACUUUCCUCCCUGUCAAAACUUCAGCAAAGAGGGGAAUCUCUGUGCCCUGGGAAGCUUAGCUGUGAAUGCUUUCAGCUAUUCCAUCGCUUGUGUUAUAGCUUGGUGCCUACAGUCACAAUUAAUUAAUAUGUGUAUGCAUUAUCUCCCACCAGGCUGGCUGCAAGAACGCUUUCUGGCCUGGGAAGUAUUUCUGCCUCAUUUGCAGUGACUCCCAGACUCACACUCUAUCUCUAAAUAUAAUAUAUGCCGAUGUAAUUUAUUUACGACUAGUUCAGAUGCUAAACUGACGAAAGAUGAUGAAGAAACCCAGUAUAACCAGUGGAGAAGCUGGUCCUCUCAGCAUGCAAUUACUUAUCCAUGCCACACCAAUAUUGAUACAUGGGUAUCAAACCUAUACAGAUGUGACGUUUAGACAUGAAAAUGACAAUUACCUUUAUAAAUGCAGUGAAUUGAGUUAGGUGAUUGAUUAGAUUAGACUGAUAAAUGAUAGAUGGUGGUAAACAGAUUUGGCAGAGCAUCCCAGGUUUCUUUUUCACAGCCCUAAGUGUCAGUGUAAAUUGUUUUUAACAUAAUUCUGAAUCUCCAAGUCUGGCAAUGGGUAACAAAUCAGCUUGCAUCCCUUGGCUGGUGGCCUCAUCUGUGCCUUCUGGCACUCUUUUCUGUGCCCCUCUGGUUUGAAUACAGCUACCAUUCUGGGAGAUAUAGAAGGAAAUUUAAACACAAUAGAGGAAGGGAAGCGAUUAAGUGACUCAGAUACAAGUAUGGGAAUGAACGUCUAAGUUGCAAGAAAUAGACAUUAAAAGCUGUCAAGAAGAUACAGUCAGCAAAGAUAUAUUACAAUACUGUUAAUUUAGAGACACUGAAGACCGGAACCACUUCGACUCCAAGUUUUUGGCCCCGACUCUUGCCCAUAGUGUUUCUUUCCCUAUCCUGCACCUCCAGGCUCCAGCUCCCAUGCCGUAAAGGCAAGAGUGAUACAGCUGGAAGCUGCGAGUCUCACUCCCAGCCCCAGACUUCUGCCACAUCUCAGAGUCAGCAGUGUGACACAUGCCUCCAGUCAGCCAUGUCCUACUGUGAAAUACCUUCCUGCUAUGGAAAAGCAACCUCUAGUUCAGGUGGAAAGUAACGUCAUAGGAAACAGCAUCUGUGUUCACGAGGACUUAUCUCUCAGAGCCAUGAGAAAGCCUGGAUGGGUUCAUCUCACCAGCUGCGGGUACCUCGUUGCAGCCUGUACACAAGGCUCCUUCCAGAGCCAGUGCAGAGAGACAAGGAGGUCCAUGGGGUAAUUAAUUCAGCCCUAGAUGGUAUCCAGGACUGGGGACAGCUUCAGGGGACACUGGUCUUUCUCUACUUUGUGCUGUGGAAGGCCUCUAGCUAGCUGGUUUGGACUUGCUUGACUUACAGACGGCUGAAAUCAGGUAAGAUAAAUGCCAUGUGACGUUAAGGCAGGCCUUUGGGCCGUAUUUCUGAACUAUACAGGCACUCGGUGUGAAUUUUAAUAGUACCUCCCCACUCAGCACCCAUUCCCGAGAUUUAGUCUUGCCUGGCAGAGAUUGCUUUGGAGGAUUACUCAUGCUUUUGAAAGUACAACAAAAAGAUCCUUAGGUCUGCAGAGAUAAUUGUUGCUUGGACUCAUACUUGCUGUCUGUCCAAGCUUAUUCCAGUGCCUCUGAGUUUUAGGGUAACGCCACAGCAAGGAUUAAAGAUUUCCCUUCUCAUUACAACAGCUCUAGUAGAAUCUGAGUCAUCAAUCAUGCUUUCUCCAGAGUCUCUUUAUGCUCUGAAGCUGAUUAGCUGUUGAAAUAAUCCAGCUUUGAUGGCAAGCAGUGCUUUAUUAAUACCGCAACUGACUGCUUGCCUCCCAUCAUUUGUUUUUAAUGGAUCCCAUGCUUCUUUGUUCCUUCUCCUGCCUGUGGAGCUCUCAGGAAGGUUUGGUAAAUAACCAUAUGCUUAGACACACUCUGCAUCAAAACAAAGCCGAAAAUGCAAAUGGUGCUUGUUGGGUUCUGGUUUUAGGAUCUUUUCAAAGUGUGUGAUCUGACAGUCUUUCUUCUGCAGCUGAACGCUACACAGGCAUUUAGUGUCUUCAUCUGCGCAGGGAGCUGCUGGGUCCUAGGUGGCCCGUGAUUCCCGUGCAUGGUCUCCAUCUGUCCCUGGUCUGCAUGAGGAAUAUCCACGGAGCUGGGAGCGAUCUUUCACGCAGACCCAGGGAGGGUCUGUGCACAUGACCGUGGUCACCAGAUGAGAGAGAGGAUCGGCAGGAGCCCUGCUUCAGCCCGAGGGGACUGAGCUCCGCAGGAAUGAUGCGCAGGCCAGAGAGCUGGAGAGACCCGGCCCGACACGGAGCCCCUGAGCGGUCAGCAGCACCAGCACCUUUCAGCCACCCUGUAGCCCCUCACCGGCCUUUUGCUGCCCUAGAAGUUCUUUACUCUGCAUGUUACCACAAACACAGACUUCCUUUAGAUGCAGCAAAAUGAGGCUUUCUUUCCCAUGUUAAUUAAGCAGCACCUAAGUGGCAAAACUUGUAGCUGAACAGUAAGGCAGCAGACAUUAACUGGCUUUAAAUUAGCCUAAAAACCCUUCAGAUUGCACCUGACUGAGCAAUGGUUUUACCUUCCAUCUACGAGAAGGCAACAGCUCUUCUGAGGCUAUAUGGUCACCACCUUACAUUUGGGGAAGCUGCGGAGAAAGGUGACGGCUGCUUUCGCAGGCAGACCCACAGCCAGAGCGGGAAUCGACUGGGUUUCAGCUCUGCUGGGCUGGCUGCCCUCAAAGCAUGCAGCGUACCUUCAAAUCGGUUCUUUCUGCAGCUGAAUGCAGAAUUACAGGUUUUUUGAAGUAUUUAAUUUAAGAGGCUCAAAGCUUUGUCAACAUACUUGAAGUGUUUUGGGGUAAUAAAACUACCCAGUGAUACAAUGUCUCAUUUAUAUGUAAAUUGUGAAGAAAUUAGGGAACGCAAAGGACUACUAUUACAGACAUUACAUAGAUAAUAAAUAGUUUGCAUACUUGCUUUCUUAAAAUCCUUUUUGCCAUAUUUCAGCUGAGAUUAUAAAAAGAAAUGAGUGUUUUGGGUGUGCGACUUGCUGGCCAGAUCCUCAGAGCUCAGUGUAGUUUCAAAACCGAGCUCUUUCCAUGUGCCUUGAGGCUGGGCAGCCAGAAUCAUCAAUCAUUUUUUUCAGCCUAAGCCGUUGAUUUUAAAUACGUAUUCAAGCCUCCCACUGAUAUCAAGAAACACCGCUUUCACACAUCCUGAGGUGAAAGGAAGCCCUCAGCUACAGCGUGCCCCAUCGUUCUGGACCUGAGAUGAGAUGGCUUUGAGAUGUGAAGACAUGGGGAUGGGGAUCAAAGAUCAAACUGGAUUAACGCCUCCUCUUUGGUGGGAUUUGAACCCGUGUUUGCAGAAGGGAGAUGCUGGCACGUUCUGCCCCAGGAAGGCACCAAGCACAGCCCGUGGGGCAUGUUGUCGGUGCCCCAGAGUUGUGAGGCUCAGAAUAGCUCUCGAUGGAGGCCCAUGAAAUCUGCAGGACACAGAUAAAUUGUGAAGGUGCUACCUGAGGGGAAUAAUGCCAGAGAAAAAGUGGCCAGGGGAAUGUCACCAUCAGUAGCUUUCCAGUGCUCUCCAUCUGAGCAAAACAAGCGUUUGCAGGCUGUUGGAGUAGAAGACUACUAAUACCUUCAGGUUAUUGCGCAGGGUGAGGCAAGACUGGGCUAUUUACCUUGUCAUCUUCUGAUGAAACAGGGUAAAGGACAGCUCUGUGCCAAUUUACUUCAUCACAGUCCCAUUCAGUUACUGCUAGUGCAGCUGGGAGGUUGAAGAUCGCAGCCGUCAGCAGGGCAAUCUCUUGCCAAGAGCAAUCAUCUCCCCGGCUCUGGUUGCAAGGCCGGAAAGGCUAGCGAGUCCCUCAAACCGUCACGGCAGCCCUGUGGCACUGAAGUUAAUUUCAGGGAUUAUAAUUGCGGCAGGCGAGCUCCCAGAAACCGGGCACGCCUCUCGCCCUGCCAGGCUGUCCUGGCACCGCCUCGAAACCAGCUCGUUGCGGCCGGAGUCGGGCACGGAGCAGCCCGGCGAGCCUCCCGGCCCUGGCCACGCGCGGGACCCCGCUGUCACUUAGGAGAAGACAAACAGCCCAAACCACGCCGGAUCGGCAAGUGACCCCCCUCUUGCCAUUCCUCGUGUGCUGGUACCACCAGUCUUCGGCAGAAAGCUGCCAGUUCGUUUCGAGCAUCGCUGAUGCAGAGGGCUGGUUUAGAAAGGUGGUGAUACAAAAGGCACUAUCAAAAGUCUCUGAUGUUUCUUGCAGCUGGAAACUAAAAAAAAAAAAGAAGGUGGUACACAUCCUUAGUCCUGUUCUAGAGGGAGCAGGAGCAAGAGGAGCGAGACCAAGGAAGAUCGCAUCUGAUAUCAGGUUUUUUAUAAACUGUCACUGCCUGGUUUUGCUCUAUACUUAUGGAUUGCAUAGGUAAUGUUAAUGGCUAACUAUCUUUGGAAAGGCAACAGGUAUUUGAUAAUCCUACACAGGUUAUGUGAGUAGCACUUUUCUAUUGUAGGGUGCUGUUUUUAUUGAGAGGACUUUUUUUUUUUUUUAUGGGAUAGAAGACAGUAUUAUUGUGAUGUUCCUUAGCACAAUAAAAUUCUCUGUAACACAGAGGAUUUAUAUAAUUAUGUAACACGAUCUGGAAAAGUAUUAAAGUACUAAAUUAAGAAUCGGGUGGAGACAAUCCCCACUGAGAUGCUGAGAUAAUGUCUAAGCAUAUUAAUACUGGAUAUCUUAUUUUUCUCCCAAUAUCUUGAGAGGAUCCUAUUGCACAUUUUCUUUCCAGUGGAGAUGUAAAGAAUAGAGGAAGGGACAAAGACUGUGCAGCAUUAUCAGCAGGAUUUAAUUGAUCCAACCAGCAUGAUGAAGAGGCUCUUGUAUAGUCAGUGUGGGAGAAAUCUUUGUGAGCUAUUAGAGAAUAAAAUCCAGAUCAAUUGGUGUCCUGUAGUUUCAGCUGCCUGAAAGCAGGUAGGUGAUCAAGAUAAGUCUGGCUCUUUGAGUCUGUGAAACCAAGCAGUUCUCAAGAGACCUGAGAUUUAUCUUGCUCUCUUUGUUAUGUCUGCAGCCACUGAAGGGUUUAAGCAAGAGAUGGGUCCUGACCAUGUUAAUGCACAAGUUGCCAGUGGCCCAUCCUUGGCCGACUGUGGAGCAAAAAUCACACACGUCAUGUUCACAGCCAGUUACCCGAGCCCGGAUGAUAAGCAGCGACCUAGAUGAGGUCUCGUAUCUCAAAUGUUUAAGGGUUUUAAUGAGUCUUUAAUAACUUGGAGUCUUUGAACGGGCCUCAUAGGGAAAACUCAGUUGCAUUCCUCAAUCCAGACAGCAAAUGCAAAGAUCGCACUAUAUUAUUUAAAACGUUUGUAAUGCCCUAACACAGGGGUUUAAAUGGUGCUCAGGUGAUGGAGAAGGCUUUACACAGAGCUUGAAUUUCACCCCCAGAUAACUGUAAUGUUGAGUGUCCCAGUGCGAGGUCAGCCCUUGGGGAGGGGAGCAGUGUGGGUGGCGGCUGGGGCACCCGGGGACGGCUGCACGAGGGUGCUGCACCAUGCCUGCUCCCCUACCUGCCUUGUUCCUGCUUGCAUGCCAUGCUUUUGGCUCUCUCCACUUCUUUUUAUUUAAUUAUAUGUAUUUUAAGGAAAACAAAACACUAGAGGGAAUCUAAUUACAAGGAGUUUAUUGACUUGAACCUCCUUCACGGCAGACUCCUAACCCCAGUCAUCUUUCUGAUGAGCCAGAAGAGGUGGAGAACUGUUUCUUGUGUUUGGAGACACUUUGACCCUGAUCUGAUUUAAUUGGCCUCUUGCAAUAAUCUAGCAUUUACCAAGAGCCAAUUUAAAGGAGCUACCAUCUGAUUUUUUUCCCCAACAGAAGGAUUAACCCCAUUAACCAGGAACUCUGCGUGACACGUUCAUAACCUCAGAAACAACGUAAUCCUCUCUCCCACUCUGCCAUCUCCUUUUCUUCUUUUGCAGCAAGUAGGAAUCACUAUGGCAGGCUGGGCGCGAGGUUCCCGGGUCUCUCUCUCUCUGCAGGAUCCGGGUGAUUUUGGGGCAGGCUGUGGGUGUACGUUGUGCUCAGAGCAGGGCGGGGAGGUGGCAGGCGGCUGUCUCGCGGGGCUCGGGGAUGCCGUGGCACUGUGGGACGUGGCCGUGAGUCAUGGCUUGGCUCACGUCCUCCUCACCACUUGCCCAAGCUCCCAGAUUUCUGCCUCUUCCCCCUCAGCCUGCUGAUGGGACGGCACAGCAGAAGCUCAUGUUCCUUUCAAAGUGUCUCAUAAAUUGGUUUUGCAUGUUUAAAGAGCGCAAUUUAGUUUUUGCAGUGCAAAGGCCCCUUGCGAGUCCAGAAUCCAGGUGCUGGUGCCUUAUGCGUCCCUAAUAGAAAGCUGCUGGUGACACAGCUGCGAGGAGACGAGCUGCAGCUGCCUGCAGCAUAAAGCUGCAUGCGUGGGUGGGAAGUGGGUAUUUGGGAGGGCUGCUGAGGUGCUGAGCACCUUUUCUGCUCCAGUGUCCUGUCUGCAAGAAUGGUUUCAGUGCUGUGAGUCUGCCUCUAACCUGCUCAGCAACUGUCCUCUCUGGUAGUCGCUUCUGUGUGUGCAUGGGGGGAACCUGUGAGCAGCUAUGAUUUGCUUAGGCAGCUGUUUUUCUGCCGCUUGAAAAUAAAUAUUGAGGUUUUUUUAUUGAUGAUGGGUUGCAGGUUGUUUAGAGGCUGGGUCACAGCCAGUGUCAGGCGCUUUGCACUGCAGGGCUGGUGAAGCUGGAGGGUUGUGCACAGGGAAUGCCAGAGGGAGGGAGUUCUGGGGAGCCCUGGCUGCAGUUUUCCUUAAGCAAGCUUUUAAACAUCUGAGUUAUUUUUAAAAAGCUGUAAGAAAUAACUAAUAAUUAGGAGAGAUGGAGUUAUUCCAAUUUACUAAUGAAAUGGUAUUCUUUCCAGCUAAGAACUGAGAUGCAUAAGGAUGUCAAAUCUGUAAAAGGAACAGAAGGUAGAUGUCUCAGGCAGCCUAAUUUUAUACACUAUAAUGCCUUCCUUAUCAUUAAUAGCACCAUCCUACACUAAAAAAGUGCCUUGUCUUCCCAAAGGACAUGAGACUGUGUUACCACUGUUGGCCUAGUCCUGAGGGCAGAUAAAUUGAUAACGACUUUAGUAAGAAAUUAGUCAGAUGCAAGCCAGCACAGGGUGAUGCCUCCUCCUGAGGCUGCAAAGCAGCCCCUGGUAGGGUGGGACAAAGCUGAAGUUCAGUCCCAACAACUCAUAGCUGAUUAGUGGAAGCUGUGUAGAGAGAGGCUGACCUGCCCUUUGGGUUAUGGGAGCAAAACAAAGCAGGAGACCCUAACUGCUGCUGGGUGGAAAGAAAAUAUAUUGUUUUUAGCUCCAAAGUUUCAGCAUUCUCUUGUGAAUUUAGAAUAGAAAGUGUAUUUGCCAUAUGUUCAGUUCCAAAAGAGCUAGGUCUCUGGAGGACCUGGUUCCCUCUGUCGCUUUGGAUGGAGGAGGACUGCUUACAAAUUUCUUUGCUUUUCCCUCUUCUGUUUUCCUUGUCACACUUGCCAUUGAACUAGCAUUGAUGUUUCUUUGCCAUCUGGUUUUAGGGCUUUUUUUUUUCCCCUCUGGGGACUGGGAGGGGGAAAAAGAUCCAGGGUGAAACAAGAUGUUUGUGUUGCUAGACCAGCAGUCAAGAAAGGGAACGGGGGAGCCGACACUGAAAUACUUUGCCAAGGCACUCCAGGCUUUGCAGAGAGGUUUUACAUCUUGCAAUUAGGAGAGGAAAUCUCUGCCCUCUGAGGUGGUUGCUUCUGGCACAGCUUUGACACAAUUUCCACACUGGCCGCUGCAGCAGCGAGGCAUGGUGGUAGCCAGCCCAGGAACUGCUGAUCUGCAGCUUGCUGUUUUACUCAUCUCUCUAGAGGCCAAGAAAUGUUCAGACAAAUGAGCUUGUCCAUUUUAAGGACUAGAAGGAAGUUCAAAGCUCCCUACGGACCAACAACCUCUCGUGGUUUAAGGUAGGGCUUGGUAUGUUUAUGGAUGAGGCUCCUCUGAAGGGAAGGAGUUGGCCUUGCUGGCUGGGAGACUUUCCCCUGCUCCUGUUGCAUUCAUCAGGGCUCGUUAGGGUUUGGACGAGCCUGGGAGGCUCGAUUUUCCAUCGGGAGGAAUUCUCAGCCCGAGCGACAGUAAAAUAGAGCUUCUUGCGAGAACUUCAUGCAAACAAUUUGUGACAUUUGUAAUUGUAUCACACGAUUUCUUGCAAUGUAUCACAUUUCCCAGAAACUUCUUUCUUUCCAACUUAAAUCAAACAUCUUAAAAAUUCAGUCUGUUCCUGCUGACCUUGUGCAGCUGAGGAAAGAGGUCGUGGCUGAUGCUGUCAGCUGCAGUGAUUUCAGACAGUGAGUGUAGUGUAAGCAGAAAUUUAUACUUUUUAAUUUGGUUAGAAGAUUAUGUUAAAUGCCCAGAGAAAAGGCUCGGUUGGAGCCUGGCCAGUUAGUACACACGCAAAGUCCCUUCAGCAGGGGCAAAGCUGGGGGCUGACAUCAGGCAGGCUAGACGAGACCGUGGGUGGACACACAGAUGAGCUUCUGGGAUGACAAGAAAAGGAGAAAUGAGCAUGAACAAGAUCAUCCACUGAUCCUUCACACGAUGCUAAUUUAUGUAAAUAGCACUUGGCUAUGUAGCUAGACCUGGCAUUUUCUCCUCUGCCGUUUGCCUCCCGAAGUCCCUCGCAGAGCGAUCGGGUUGUGACUUCGCAUAGCAAGAGCUUUGCUUCUCCCAGCUCCACAUGCCAGAUACUUGUUUGCUUGUCGGUGUGGGCAAUUUAAUUACCAAUUCCCAGGGCUAAUAUACAAUACCAGGCAAUUACACUGCAUUGUAUCGCACUUACUGAAUAAGAUUACAUGUGACUUAUAUUUAAUUUCAACUCAAUUUCUAAUUUUGCCGUGGCGGAGUUACGUGAUCAAACAGGGCUGUGGAUGUUAUCUGCCGCGUGUGUGCUGCACUGAAAGGCUCCUCGUUCAUCUUCUGCCUCCUUCUCCCCAACUCUGUUGCUUGUGUCCACACAAGUGUCUCCAGGAUCGAUAAUUCUUACUGUUCUCAGAGGAUGUUUGAAAGAUGCCAUGUCAAUCUCUGCUCCCCGAGCAAAGCCCCGUGGAUGUUCCCGGGACUGUUUUGGCAGUCUCACCGAGCUCCUCCCCACCAGCUCGGCACACAUAAGCAGUAUUCCGGGUAACUUACCUGCGCAGCCAGCCUCCGAAUUGCUCUUUUGAACACAAUUGCUGUUAUUUGUGAAAGCACCGCUCUCAAAAGCAAUAUUUCAUCAUUACUGUAAAACAUCAUCCCUGCAAUUAUCGGAGAGAGCAUCUGUGGGAAUCUUAUGGGAAACAUGGUGACGCCUGAAGCGAGCCCCAGCCUGGUGCUCGGUGCCCGUGGUGCCUGGCAGGGCUGUGCCAGCGUCCCACCCCGCGCUGGGGGACCGAGACUUUGCCUCCGGACCGUGCUGUGGGCCAUCACUGGGUUGGCUUGAAUGAUGAGUCUGGCCAAUUAAAAACAGCACUUCUGGAAGAGAGUGCUGCUUUAUUUCCAGCCUAACUACAAAUGACAGUGCAAUGGGGUGAGGAAUUUCCUCUGCCUUGGAGCUGGCUCUUGCGCUGCCUGCCUUUCUCCCCACUGGCUCUCGCCUUCUGCAAAGGCUUUCCAAACCGGGCAUUUAGCCUUGUGUCUCGAACAAUCAUCCAUGAAACCCACCUGGAUAUUUUUGAGAAAAUCGAAAAGGCUGCAGCUAUAGAGACAUCACAAGGGAGACAUGGCCAGCUGGACAUCACCUUUGCCCAUUUUGUAUUAUGUCGCCUGUGACACCCAUUACGUAGAGCUUCCUGUCACAACAGAGUAGCCAGAACUGGUAAUAUUUGACAGCUAAAAUCUUCUUUUGUGAGGAAAAGAAAAAUCUUAGUUGCAAUGAAUUGACUCCCUUUUAUAAAACAUAAAUAACAACAAAAAAAAUGGGUGCAUCUGUUUUCAGUUUUCCUCCCCUGUCGCCCUUGUCCUCUGGAAACAGUGAACUGAGAAGAGAGAAAGGGAGGGAGGCAGCAUCUAAAAAAAAUCAGAAAAUGAGAAAAUAUCCAUCAAAAUGGAAGGAAACUUCAUACUUCAGGAGGGAAAAUAACAGUUUAAGUUGGAAAAAUCACCUUGACAAACUUCAACCUUCCGCAGCUGCUGCCUGAGGAAGGAGCUUGCAGGAAAUCCUUUGCUUGCUCUUAGAUACACGUGCGGAGAUGUAAAAUCAGUUAAAGACUGUUAGCUUUAUCUGUUUACUCCCCAGAAGUGUUAACUGAAAAAGGGCUCGGUCUGCUUAGACUCAGGGCUGGCCUUCCCUAGAGAAAGAGCUGUUAGAUGCUGAGAUCUUGUUUCCAGAUUUCUUCCCAUUUAAUUUCACAGACUGACUUUAGCAAAUGGGACGCGUGCGCGACGAUUUGGCCACAUGAGAAAUGCAGGGAGCGACGGCCGUGCCGGUGUCGUGUAUUGCACAGCGCGGGCACGCACGGAGGAGGGGAAGGAAGGUUAUUGAGACAUCGCCGGCGAGUUCAGCAACUGCAGCAAAGCCUGAGUGACGUCUUCAGCAGCUCCUGCACUUAAAUGAGGACAAGAUGUAGAUACGGUAAAAGCACGUGAGUGAAGGUAGCUCCAGCCCAAAUCUCUGCUGAAUGCAGUAGACAGGAUGGUUGGCGCUACCUGAUCCUCUCCGGCCAGGUCGCUUGCUUCUUAAUUGUAUGCAAUACUGUAAAAAUUCAAACUAUUCUAAGUCACUAAGAACAGGAUGAAAUGUAAAGUUUUCUGUGACAUUUAUUCAGAAAAGGAUAUUGUUUUUGGGGGCUGCUUGGUUCACAUAUCUUAUUUUUGAAUGAACUGCGCUGCCCCGUGUCGCCUGCUAAGUUAACAAUUUGUGCCAAUUACAGUAAUUACUGUGCUCCAGCAGCAGCACUGCUGCCCAGACGUGUUCAAGGAGUGGCUUUGCUUAAAUGAAUGAGAAUACCCUGAACCUGCAAAAACAUUUGUGGAUAUUGAAUAAUUUAAUUUUCUGAUUCUGCUAAUUCAAUGUUGAAACACAGAUAAUCUCCUUCAUUAAAGGAGCAGUAGGAAAAUGGGAAAGGACUGACACUUUGCGAAUGAACCAAGGCUUUGUAGCCACGCUGGGAGAAUUCGGUUGUGCAGUAUGCGAACGUACGUCUCCUCUGCAAUCUGCAUGUAGCCCCAGGGCAGGACCCAAGGCGAGGGCAGCACGAGAGCAGGUCGCUGCCAUCCUUGCAUCGGCGGUGUGUCUUUGCAGCCCCCCUUGCUUUGGGCACACUUCCCGCCAGCGCCCAGGUUUGCAUCUGCUGGAGAAGAGCCCGGUGGAGGUUGUCCCCCCCCCUCCCACCCCAGCUGUGCGUGCAGCUCCAGGGCAGGCUCCUUCUGCAUUUCUUCUCCCUGCAAAAGAUCGAAUAAGCCUUUGCUUCAAAGGAGGCAGUCAGAAAGUGCCUCUCUUAAUAACCAGCUGCUUAGAUGUGCUACUUUUUGUCUCGUAAUGCUCUUUCACUCUUUUCACAGCAGUUUUCCAUCUCUGAGCAGAGCCUGUGUGACUCCUGUUGAUGGAUGUUUGUUCUCGAGGUCGUGAUCUUUUAGCCAGGAUUUUACACGGAGCCCUUUUCUUCCCUUGCACCUUUGUAUUUUAACAAGAAGUUGUUGCUUGAAAAGGAAGGGUGAGAACAGUACUGAAUAGUCCACUUAAUAAAUGGAAACGCAGCAAGGGCGCUGGAGGACGUGGUACGCUGGAGCUUCCAAAUUAUGCUGGAUGUGAAGCAGGGAGAUUAUUCUGGAUGGGUCCACUUGAUUUCUCGCCAAGGUCAAGACUGUGGCUUUCUGAUGAGGAAGUGGCUGCUUGAAUUGCUUCAUCAACUAUUUACUUCAGGUUUAAUGACACCUCAGUGUUAUUUUUCCUCUGUCUGUUCUGGAGUCAUUUGCUGCUUGUCACUCCAUUUGCCUCUGCGGAGGUCACCCGUGUAGCUCUGAAAGGCAACAUAUAUUCAGAGUUCUGGCAAGGCCGUGCUACGCUUUGCCUCUUCAUCUGUUAGCGUUGCUUUGCAGUUUUAAAAUAAUUAUUUCUCUCCCUCGGGGAGGUGUUUGCUCUCUG